CCUGACUCUGCCCCAGGGACCACCCUGGCUUCUCAUAGAUGAGUUUUCAACCUAUCUCGCCCCCAAACAGGCCUCCACUUUCUGGCCACCAUUUCUGAACCCAGCUGGGGCAGGCAGGGCUCAUCCCUUCCCCCCUCCCCUCUCCUAGCUCCCUUUCCUCAUCAUAAGGUAAGUUCUUUGAGGAUAGGAACUUUCUGCAGGCAGCUAGGUGGCUCAGUGGAUAGAGUGCCAGGCCUGGAAUCGGGAAGACCUACAUUCAAAUCCGAACACAUUUCCUAGCUGUGCGACCCUAGGCAAGUCACUUCACCUAGUUUACCUCAGUUUCCCCAUCUAUAAAAUAAACUGGAUAAGAAAAUGGCAAACUACUCCAAUAUCUUUGCCAAGAAAACCCCAAAUGGGGUCAUGAAGAGUCAGACGUGACUGAACAACUGUCUGGUUUACGUGCUGAGAUGCCCAGUGGCUUGGCACAGUGCUUGGCAGAGAGCAAGCCCUUAACAGAUGACUUAGCUAGCUAACUCCUGUUUCCCCAGGAUCAUCUCAGCUCUGUGGGGCAGCUCCUUCCUGCGGAGGCAGGCCCAUCUGCUGUUUCUUAGGCCGGCCUUCCUGGGAUGAUUUCAGGGUUCUACAGAGAUCUUCUGAUUUCCCAAGCACCCUGUCCCAGGAAUCCUCCUUGUCCAGAUCCAGGCCCACAGGCCCCUUGGAGGGCUCCCAUCACCCUCACCGUCCAACCCCGACGCCCCCUUUCUGCAGGGUGUCCCCGGGGAGAAGGUAACCUUCUGGAGGAGAGGGUCAGUCUAGGCGGUUUUCCGUAGAGGGGCCCUUGAGCUCAUGGCCAGGCGGAAAACGAGCAUUUUAUAUGUUUUCAUUCCAAGCAGCUUAUGGAAGAUUUGUUUGAAUUCUGACGCUCCUCCCCCAGUGCUACAGCUUGUUAACGGAGGCUGGGAGGUAAAGGUGACUCUGAAGGCCUAGGUGACAAGUCACCUUGGUGACUACCAGGCCAAGGCAAUGCCUUCCUUUGCCAGGCCUCA
rnacentral:lncRNA from 1 species